GUUUGGCUGGGGUUGUUGGAACUCCAGGGGAACAUCACCUUUCCACCCCAUCUGCUUGCCAGCUCCCCAUCCCACUAAGUGGUACUUCUACCACUCAAUAAAAUCCUCCACAUUCGCCACCCUUCAACUUGUUUGUGUGACCUGCUUCUUCCUGGACGCUGGACAAGAACCAAGGUGUAGAUGCAAGAGGCUGUCACACUGACCCUCCACUGAGCUGUUUAACACUUAACACAGCAAAGAUAAAAGAACAAACCGUAACACAUGCCCUUUGUGGCUCCAGGGGUCACAGGCAACCUCUAGAUACUGCUGCGGCCCUGCACAAAGUUCUUUUCCUGCUGGUUUUCUAGAAGUGCUCAUCCCAGCCUCUGCACCAGCUCACCUGUGUGCUCCCCUCCCAAAAGCAGUUGAGAGCUGUGAACUGAGUAAAUGAGCCAACGCCUUUGCAAGUUCCACAAAGGAGUCAAGGGAACUAUCCCAUUUCAUCUGGGUGUUUGUCCAGGAUCCAUCAGAAGGUCUUGAUUUCCAAAGGCACAGCUCCUGUGAAGCCUAAGACCUCAAAACCCUGCUCUGUAAGAGAAAAGGGUGGGAUUCGAGAUCCUAAGACCUACAAUAUGGGACCAAUCCAUCCCUUAUUAUCUCUUGAGUCUAAAUUCGCUGAACCUUGCUUUCCUCAUCAAUAAAACAGAGACUGUAAUCUUCAGUUGUUAUGAAGGUUAAAUAAGAAUAAAUGUAAAAGUACUUUUUAAACCAUGGAACAAGGAACAAAUAUUUGUUGCAGAAAGACACUGGAAAUGAGCCUUCACAGACACCUCACGACCUGCUCACCUUACAAAGGAAGAGACUGAAACUCCAGAAAUAAAAUCAUUUAUCCAUGAAGAUUUGUAUCCAACCCUUGUGACUCUGCGUUCUCUUUGUAGUUCUACAAUUUAAGUGACUUAUCCCUUCCCAUGAUUUGAUGUAUGACCGAUUUGCUGGUAAUGACAGAGUCUACUUUCAACAUGUCCUCUCUCCUUCUCCUCUUCCUUGUUAGCAAAUA
rnacentral:lncRNA from 1 species